CAGUAUGGAGCGUAGGAAAUAUACGUAUACGUAGAGUCUGUCAAACGAAAUACACAGUUUAUUAUUUGGGAAUGACGACAGAGGAGGCAUUUCCACCGAUCAUUAGGUUCCAGGCUGACGACACGACAGCAUUUCUUCGUGCUGCUCGGUCCGGGAACCUCGAAAAAGUGAUCGAAUUCCUCGAUACCGACUUAGAUAUUAAUACAGCUAAUUCGAAUGGUUUAAAUGCUUUACAUUUAGCAUCGAAAGAUGGCCAUGUUGAAAUAGUAACAGAAUUGUUAAAAAGGGGUGCUAAGGUGGAUGCAGCUACAAAGAAAGGAAACACUGCGCUGCACAUAGCUUCGCUCGCCGGCCAAGCGGAAAUAGUAAAUAUUCUAAUUCAAUAUGGUGCUGCGGUUAAUAUUCAGUCUCAAAAUGGUUUUACACCUUUAUACAUGGCCGCCCAAGAAAACCACGAUCAAGUCGUUAAGUUGUUGCUCAGUAAUGGAGCUAAUCAAAGUCUUGCUACAGAGGACGGAUUUACACCUCUUGCCGUAGCAAUGCAACAGGGACACGAUAAAGUUGUCAGCGUUCUUUUAGAAAAUGAUUCUAAGGGAAAAGUUAGACUACCAGCACUUCAUAUUGCGGCUAAGAAAGAUGACUGUAAAGCUGCUGAUCUGCUAUUGCAGAAUGAUCAUAAACCUGAUGUUACAUCGAAAAGUGGUUUUACACCGCUACAUAUCGCCGCUCAUUAUGGAAACGAAGAGAUAGCACGUUUAUUAAUAAAACGUGGCGCUGACGUGAAUUAUUUAGCGAAGCACAAUAUAAGCCCUUUACAUGUAGCGGCGAAGUGGGGUAAAAACAACAUGGUCAAAGUAUUAUUAGAAAAUUCUGCGCAAAUCGAUGCUAAAACUAGGGAUGGUUUAACACCUUUACAUUGUGCAGCAAGAUCUGGUCAUGAACAAGUGAUCACUACACUUCUCGAAGAUUCUGCACCUAUCAGUGCACGGACGAAAAAUGGUCUUGCACCACUGCACAUGGCAUCGCAAGGAGAUCAUGUGGAUGCAGCAAGGGUAUUAUUAUAUCAUCGAGCGCCAGUUGACGAAGUUACGAUCGAUUAUUUAACGUCUCUUCAUGUUGCCGCACACUGCGGGCAUGUCAGAGUUGCAAAGCUACUUCUGGACCGAAAAGCUGAUCCGAAUGCACGCGCUUUAAAUGGCUUCACACCGCUGCAUAUUGCUUGCAAAAAGAAUCGAAUAAAAGUCGUCGAGCUCCUAUUAAAACACGGAGCAUCGAUCGAAUCUACCACCGAGUCUGGACUGACUCCAUUACAUGUGGCCAGUUUUAUGGGAUGUAUGAAUAUCGUGAUAUUCCUACUGCAACACGAAGCCAAUCCUGAUGUGCCAACUGUUAGGGGUGAAACACCUUUACAUCUGGCAGCUAGAGCUAAUCAGACAGACAUUAUUCGAAUUUUAUUGCGAAAUGGAGCCAAAGUUGAUGCUCGGGCAAGGGAACAACAAACACCUCUGCAUAUUGCAUCGCGAUUAGGAAAUAUUGAUAUUGUUAUGUUACUUCUGCAACAUGGUGCAGCAGUCGACACUACUACGAAAGAUAUGUACACAGCAUUGCAUAUCGCAGCGAAGGAAGGACAAGAGGAGGUGGCAACUCUCCUUGUGGAAAACAAUGCUUCUCUUAAGGCUACAACUAAAAAUGGUUUUACUCCUUUACAUAUCGCAGCUAAAUAUGGCAAUAUGAGCGUCGCAAACAUACUUCUGCAAAGGGAUAGCAAACUAGAUGCACAGGGAAAGAACGACAUUUCUCCGUUACAUUUGGCAUGCCACUAUGAUCACCCAAAUGUUGCAAAUCUUCUGUUAGAAAAAGGAGCAUCUCCUCAUCUGGUUUCACAAAAUGGACAUACUCCCCUACAUAUUGCUGCAAGGAAAAAUCAGAUGGAUAUUGCUUCUACUCUUUUGGAGAAUGGAGCGAAUGCAAAUGCCGAGUCUAAAGCAGGAUUUACACCUUUGCAUUUAAGUGCACAGAAAGGACAUUACGACAUGACGAAUUUGCUGAUUGAGCAUGGAGCUGAUCCCAAUCAUAAAUCAAAGAAUGGUCUCACUGCAUUGCAUCUGUGUGCUCAAGAAGAUUUCAUUAAGGUGGCGUCCAUUCUUGUGAAAAAUGGCGCGAACGUUGAAAGCGAAACUGAAACCGGCUAUCGACCUAUACACGUCGCGGCACAUUUUGGAAAUCUUUCGAUGAUUCGAUUCCUUUUGAAGCAUAACGCGAGUAUCGAUGUAAAAACAAAUCAGAAUUAUACUCCUCUACACCAAGCCGCCCAACAAGGUCAUGCUCAUAUCGUCAGUGCUUUGAUAGAAGGGAACGCCUCUCAUAAAGCACGAACCAAUGAUGGAUUAACAGCUUUAAAUAUAGCUCAAAAGUUAGGAUACAUAUCUGUAAUGGAGGUACUGAAGGGAUUGUCCUACGAUACGUUAGCACCUGAUAAUAAAAAUUGGGACGAGAAGUACAAAGUCAUUGCACCUGAAAGUUUGCAAGAAACUAGCUUCAUGUCUGACUCUGAUGACGAAGGAGGUUCAGAUGCAUUGAUCAGCGAACAGCCAUAUCGAUAUCUCACAGCGGAUUUGAUGAAAAGUCUAAGAGAUGAUUCUCUGCCUAUUGACGUUACACGAGAUGACCCGAUACACAGACAAGUCACGAAAGAAGAGAAACAGGACUUCACUCAAAGCAAUAAUUAUUGUCUAGCAGAAAACUUCGAUACCGAUGGAUUUAAUUUGGGAUUUUUGGUCAGUUUCUUGGUGGAUGCACGUGGAGGUGCCAUGAAGGGAUGUAGACACAGUGGUGUACGCAUUAUUGUACCACCACGAAGAGCAACAAUGCCAAUUCGCGUUACGUGUAGAUUGAUAAAACCUAAUAAAGUUGCAAAUCCUCCUCCUUUAAUGGAGGGAGAGGCUUUAGCGACCAGAAUCAUAGAAAUGGGACCAAUUGGUGCAACGUUUCUAGGCCCUGUUUUAAUUGAUAUACCACAUUUCGCAUCUAUUCGAGGCAAGGAACGAGAAAUUAUUAUUCUCAGAAGUGAGAAUGGAGAAACUUGGAAAGAGCAUGAUAAUUCUGCCGAUAAUGAUACUACAUUAUUAAAUACUCCUCAUGAUCCACAAAUGAGUGCUGCUCAUUCCGGCAGGAUUACUCGUAUAAUAACGACAGAUUUUCCUCAGUACUUUGCUAUUAUCACGAGAAUUAAGCAGGAGGUUCAUGUAAUCGGUGCUGAAGGGGGAAUUUUAACAUCGAGUGUGGCUAACGACGUCCAAGCUGUUUUCCCACCAGGUGCAUUAACGAAGAAAAUUAAAGUUGGAUUGCAAGCUCACGUGAUUCCAGCAGAGCUUACAGCAAAAUUAUUAGGAAAUUGUGUAGCCGUAUCUCCUGUAAUAACAAUCGAGCCAAGAAGACGAAAGUUUCAUAAACCAAUUACUCUUACGAUACCUGUGCCACAAGCUGCGAAUAAAGGGAUGAUUAAUCAAUAUGGCGGCGAAACACCAACGUUACGUCUUCUAUGUAGUAUUGCAGGUGGUACGAGUGAAUCACAGUGGGAAGAUGUAACCGGUUCAACACCUUUAACCUUUAUGAACGACACGGUGUCUUUCACCACUACUGUGUCUGCUCGAUUUUGGUUAAUGGAUUGCCGAAAUAUAGGCGCGGUUCCAAAAAUGGCAACCGAGCUUUAUGAAGAAUCGUUAUUUGUGCCGUAUAUUACGAACUUUGUAAUAUAUUCCAAACGAAUGGACGUACUCGAAGCAACGUUAAGAAUAUUGUGUAUGACCGAUGGGAAGGAAGGGAUGCACACCUUGGAAAGGCAAGAGGAAUUUGUCGAAAUUGUAAAAAGCCGUGAUGUUGAAGCACUCGAUGGGAAAGAUCUAUAUAUUGAAUUCAGUGGAAAUUUAGUACCUGUGACGAAAUCGGGUGUACAAUUGAAAUUUACUUUUAAAGCUUUUCGUCAAAAUCGCUUAUCGUUCCACGUGAAAGUGAAAGAUCCUUUGUUAGAUCCGGUGGCUAGGAUGUUGUUUAUGCGAGAACCGAAAGUCGCGAAAGGGGAACCCCCUCAACAACCAAUUUGCGUGUUAAAUAUUGUUCUUCCAGAAAUUACAACUAAGGUCGAAGUACAAAAGAAAUUGAAAGAUUACGAAGAUUCGAAUAUUAUUAGUCAAAAACUGGAAUCUUAUGAAUCGAAAUACAAGAUGGAACAAAAGGAAAAAGGUGACGAACCUAAGGAUAUUUCGCCUUCAAAAAAGAAAUUUAUUACCGACACCUUGCAAAAGGAACGAACAGAGGAAAAGUUAAUCUGCUUAUGGCUCGAGCGUUGAGUGAGGCUUCUUUAAUUUAAUUAUGCAUAACAGUAUCAACAAACGUUCGAUGUAGCUAUGACGAACUUGUUUAGUUUGAUCUGAACCACUGCUGGAAGCACUACUUUUAAAAGCUAUCCUCUUUUGAGUAUCACCCUACCUCAGUUUCAAACAUUUUCAGGUUUUUUUAAGUUCUUUAGUAAUUUGCACUUAAGGUCCAUACGAUAACCUUUAAAAACCAAAAAGAAAUCUAUACUCGAGAGAUAUC
rnacentral:misc_RNA from 1 species